UACGUAGGGGGCUAGCGUUGUCCGGAAUCACUGGGCGUAAAGAGCGUGUAGGCGGCUCGGUAAGUCCGCUGUGAAAGUCCAGGGCUCAACCCUGGAAUGCCAGUGGAAACUGUCGAGCUAGAGUCCGGAAGAGGCGAGUGGAAUUCCUGGUGUAGCGGUGAAAUGCGCAGAUAUCAGGAGGAACACCAGUGGCGAAGGCGGCUCUCUGGACCUCUGCUGACGCUGAGGCGCGAAAGCUAGGGGAGCAAACAGG
rnacentral:rRNA from 1 species